rnacentral:rRNA from 1 species
UACAGAGGUCUCAAGCGUUGUUCGGAUUCAUUGGCGUAAAGGGUGCGUAGGCGGCGCGGUAAGUCGGAUGUGAAAUCUCGGAGCUUAACUCCGAAACUGCAUUCGAUACUGCCGUGCUUGAGGACUGGAGAGGAGACUGGAAUUUACGGUGUAGCGGUGAAAUGCGUAGAUAUCGUAAGGAAGACCAGGUGGCGAAGGCGGGUCUCUGGACAAGUUCCUGACGCUGAGGCACGAAGCCAGGGGAGCAAACGG